AAGCUUCUAACUAACUUAAUGAACCGAACAGAUUAAAAUGGUGCAAGAGAAAACCCAAAGGGCAUUUUUACACUAAAAGAAGCAUUUUCUGUGUUCUAGUUCAGCUGUUCCAAUGAUAUGUGGUGGUGUUAUCAGUAUGAAUUAUACAAGCAAGUUUCUUUAUCCAGACUGACGUGUUAACCAUGAUCUAGCAUUUGCAAGAUGUGUAAUUACUUUGACUUUCAAGAAAACGUCUUCUGAUCUAAGGAACUUUCCCAAAUAUCAAAGCUGGCUGGCUCAGGAGUACCCUCACAGUGAUGGCAGGAGAGCAAAUCUGAAAGUUCAAACACUCAAAUGUGUUUUCAGAUUUCUGCUUGCAUCACAUGGGCUAACAACUGGUCAAAGCAAAUCACAUAGUCAAACCAAAAAUCAAAGACCUGGAAGACAGACAAAGUGCUGUAUUGAAGGUUACAGAAGAAUAUAGAAGCUCUGAAUAGCACAGAAGUUUUCAUAAGCCAGGGGUUAUAUUGACCAACAGAGACUCCACAAAACCAUUUACUCGUGAGAGGAAAAUGUCAUGGAUUGGAUUAGAAGUGGAAAGACUAAUGCAUUUUUUGUCCAUAAGGAUUAGAAGAAAAAUGGUUCUCUCAGCUCUGCAAGUGAGUACAACAAGCAUCCAAAAGCAUUAUUUGUGUGAAGCAGUUUGUAGAAUUUGCUCCAUUUGUCACUGGAACUAGUGUUUGAAGCUCAGCAAAAUUUGAGUUAUAGUUAAGCCCCAGGGUCAGUGGCCACAAGUUCAGAGCAAUACCUUAGGUUUAAAGCCGAAAAACACUCAGCUGUAUUGUCUCUCCCAAAUUAUCAAUCAUUAACUUGUGGUGUCUUAAAAAUGGGGUAGUAGAUUACUUGACCAGAAAAUAAUGAUGAAAUUACAUAUAAUGUGUGUGUGUUUAUGUAUUACACAUAUAAUACAUAAUGUUAAUUCUCCCCCAUGAUAACUAUUAAACAUGUUUAGUUAAUACUUAAAUAACCAUCUCUGACGGCUUUUUAAAUUUAUCUAUAUUUAUUUGUUAACUUUGAAGUUGAGACUUGCUGCAUGCAAAGGCUGUUCCUUUUCAGGUAAAUAGUGUCUCAGUAGCUGUUUGAUUUACCUUAUAAAGGAAAACAAAAUGACACAUCCUCCAACCCAUAGACUUUAUCAGGUCUUUGAAGUGCAACAAUAACUAGAAAAGGAUAAUUUUCAUAGUAUGGUGAUAUGGUUUGGCUGUGUCCCCACCCAAAUCUCAUCUUUAAUUGUAGUUUGUAUUAUCCCCAUGUGUCAUGGGAAGGACCAGGUGAAAAUAAUUAAAUCAUUGUAGCAGUUUCCCCCAUCCUAUUCUCAUAAUAGCGAGUUAGUUCUCACAAGAUCUGAUGGUUUUAUAAGGGGCUUCCCGCUUCACUGGGUACUCAUUCUUCUCUCUCCUGCCACUUUGUGAAGAAGGACAUGUUUGCUUCCCCAUCCACCAUGAGUCUAAGUUUUCUGAGGCUUCCCUAACCAUGUGGAAGUGUGAGUCAAUUAAACCUCUUUCCUUUA